rnacentral:rRNA from 1 species
AAAUCACGGUGGGGCUACCCGCUGGA